rnacentral:rRNA from 1 species
GCCGCGGUAAUACGAAGGGUGCAAGCGUUACUCGGAAUUACUGGGCGUAAAGAGCGCGUAGGUGGCUUGUCAGGUCUGGUGUGAAAUUUCGGGGCUCAACCCCGAACCUGCAUCGGAAACCGGCUUGCUAGAGUCUGGGAGAGGAGAGUGGAAUUCCUGGUGUAGCGGUGAAAUGCGUAGAUAUCAGGAGGAACACCGGUAGCGAAGGCGGCUCUCUGGAACAGUACUGACGCUGAGGCGCGAAAGCUAGGGGAGCGAACAG